GUGGCUUCAGGACAGGCAGCACUCAGUUCUGCAGCCUCACUGUGCCUGGGCAAAGGCCGGGAACUGCUUGACUUUAUUUGGAAUGGUGGAGAAGUUCUGCAAAUGGAUGGUGGAGGACGCUAUGCAAACCUGGUGUGCUUCAUGCCACUGAACUGUACAUGCUUAGAAGACCAAGCCCAGGAGAUGCAGCACAGAGUGUGACCAGAAGACCAGGGUGAACCGUGAGACAGACAGAGCUCUUAGCACCGACAGACUGGCUACUAGCCUUUCUUCUGCCACCAGCUCGUUUCUUGGCUUGUCUGGAGGGAUUGCUGCGAAGAUGGGAAGAAGGAACAUUGAUGCUCUUUCAGGGAGGACUGCAGAGAGCANGGCCUGGAGCCUGGCACCCUGGAGGACCAGGCAAGGGACCUCUAACACCCAGGUGUGGUACCAUGUCAACUUGGGUCACCCUCAACCCCGACAUCUCACUUGUGGAGACAGGCCAAAUCCAGGCCAAGCAGAGGCUCACUUGAAUACUCUGAAGAACAGCAGAAUCGCAUCACUAUGAAGACGCAAGCAAGAGGCUGUGAGAGACCCUGGGUGCUAAGCUGAGCUUCACAAAGGGUCACCAAAAUACAAGCAUGAGUUCUGA